CGGCCCAAAACAUCACCAAUUCCAGUCCCCACGCUAUCCGAUAAUAAUCAUCUAUACAUUAACACAUUCUGGAGAAGACUCGCAACCAAUACCAACUAACUAGAAUCGAAAGGAUGAGGGAGAACUUAGAUAAUAGAGAAUCGAAAAUCAAAACAUGAGCUUUAUCUCCACAUCAUCUCCUUCUGCUACCACCACCACCGUGACUGGACUAACCUGGUAUUCAGUGACUGGUGCACUAU
rnacentral:lncRNA from 1 species